rnacentral:ncRNA from 1 species
CCUUAACUGCGUAAGCAGACAAGCCAAGAUAAGGAGUUAUAUAUG